CGGACAGACAGACAGACAUGACGAAUCUAUAAGGGUUCCGUUUUUUGCCAUUUGGCUACGGAACCCUAAAAACCGAGGUUUCCGUACAUAUGUCAGGAUCGUAGCAAGUGGAAAUCCGUGGUCUCUGCCUACCCCUCC